AACCUGCCCCAUAGUCUGGGAUACCACUUGGAAACAGGUGCUAAUACCGGAUAACAACACUAGACGCAUGUCUAGAGUUUAAAAGAUGGUUCUGCUAUCACUCUUGGAUGGACCUGCGGUGCAUUAGCUAGUUGGUAAGGCAACGGCUUACCAAGGCAAUGAUGCAUAGCCGAGUUGAGAGACUGAUCGGCCACAUUGGGACUGAGACACGGCCCAAACUCCUACGGGAGGCAGCAGCU
rnacentral:rRNA from 1 species